CUCCUGGUCAGCCUCGCAGGAAACUAACCUUUUUAAACACCUGCCUUAAAGGCGCAGCGCAGUAUUUUCCCCCUGCUUUUUCUAACACAAGAAGAAACGCUGUAUACGUGCAAGCAAAACAGCCCAUGAGGAUUUCCAGCAGAUACAAUAAGUUUCAAGAUUGUGGGGGAAAAAACAAAGGAAAUAUUUUGCAGCUACAAGCCCUGGAGCACUUGAGGAUGCGUUUGCCUAGCUUCAUGGCCUAGAUGGGUUCUCAUCUCUGCAAAUAAAGCUAUUUGAACUUGAAAGAUUCCCAGCAAGUUGCAACUGUUUUCUGCUCAGUGACUUUAAAGUUUACCAAAGGAGGGAUACGUGGAAAUGGCUUUUGUUACCUUGUCUCAACUGUAGAGACUUGAAAGCUAAUACGUCCGUUUUAUUUCCUGAACCCAGUGUCUUGGGCUCCUUGGCGUCUUUUAGGUCAAUGAUGAGAGUCAGCUGAACUUCAAAGAUCUUCCCUUCCUUCCCUUUUUUUCUCAGAGAUUCAAACGUUUGGUCCCCAUUUAUGUUCUUUUUCACCUUCUCAUGAUUUAUUAAUUGUUUUGCAUCUUGAUCUUUUACACUGUCCAUACCUCCAUCGUCCAGGGUAUACUGGACCUUCCUCAAAAAAUGAAAAACAGAACUACCCUAUGAUCCAACAGUUCUACUUCUGGGUAUUUUAUGCCAAAAGCUUAAAAAGAAACAAAAAGGAAAUAUUAGAUGCAGCAUAGGUACUCCCAGUUUAGGGAAGCACUGGGAAAUGUUUAGUUAUGUUAUCUGUAUGAUAAUAAUAAAGCUACAGAAUGUACCAAGAUAAGGUAAGAGAUCCGUGUUGGGGAAAUGUUUCUUUCAGUUUUAUUGAUAUGAUCAACAUAGAGUGGUACAUAAGUUCACGGUAUAGAGCAUAGGGACUCGACUUACAUUUGUCGUGAGAUGAUUAUCACAAUUAAGUUAGCAUCCAUCAUCACAUACAGAUAAAAGGAAAACAAUGCUUUUUUCCCCCUUGUAAUGAAAUCUUACUUGCUGCUUAAAAACUAAACUGUGGUUUCAAAUUCUCACCUAGGGGGAACAUCCAAAUAUUCAACAUUUCAAGUUGUAGAAAAUUUUUUCUUAAUUUUAUAAAAUGUUUUUAUUUUAUUUUUUUAAUUUACAUCCAAGUUAAUUAGCAUAUGGUGCAACAAUGAUUUCAGAAGUAGAUUCCUUAAUGCCCCUUCCCAAUU